CUCAUCACGGCUUUUAAAUAAUCAGCCAAUUCACUGGGCUGAAUGGAGUCAGGAAUCCCCCUCACUCUGAUGUGGUUUCUCCUACUCCUGUCUUUGAGGUAACUCAGUUUAGUAUUAGCAGAUUGCAAUUGUAAUUCCAAAGAUUUAACACGUUUAGUUAGGUCUCCUAAAUCAGAAGCAUGUUGCAGUACUGUAUUAUCAGUAGUACAAGUUCUAUGCUCAAGCACUGUUACAUUGUGCCUCAUUGUUGCAAAGUCCUUUUUAAAAUCUUUCAUCUCCUGUCUCAUCUCCUGUAAUAGUUCCCAGAUUUGGUCAUAUGAGGCAGGGGAGCAAGGAGCUGUUCUGUGUCAUGGAGGGAAGAGACCCUUGUAGCGGAGCUCCCUGUACCCCAGCUG